CCUACGGGAGGCAGCAGUGAGGAAUAUUGGUCAAUGGGCGCGAGCCUGAACCAGCCAAGUCGCGUGAGGGAAGACGGCCCUACGGGUUGUAAACCUCUUUUGCCGGGGAGCAACGGUCGCCACGUGUGGCGCCACUGAGAGUACCCGGAGAAAAAGCAUCGGCUAACCCCGUGCCAGCAGCCGCGGUAAUACGGAGGUUGCGAGCGUUAUCCGGUUUUAUUGGGUUUAAAGGGUGCGUAGGCGGAACGUUAAGUCAGUGGUAAAAUUUGGGGGCUCAACCCCUUGCCGCCAUUGAAACUGGCGCUCUUGAGUGGAAGCGAAGUAUGCGGAAUGCGUGGUGUAGCGGUGAAAUGCAUAGAUAUCACGCAGAACCCCGAUUGCGAAGGCAGCAUGCCGGAUUCCUACUGACGCUGAAGCACGAAAGCGUGGGGAUCGAACAGGAUUAGAUACCCGAGUAGUC
rnacentral:rRNA from 1 species